rnacentral:misc_RNA from 1 species
AUCUCAAUGUGAAGAGCUGAAAGCAAAACGGACGCCAUUUCUUUCUCCCUAUUCUUCCUAUCCAUAGCCAGGGUGAUGAGUUUUUUCAGGAAAAUUGGGUUAAACUCAGGCAUGCCAAGAUCUUCAAGACUUCGGACUAGUUCAGGAAUGUCAUCUGAGAGAAAAUACUCAUGAAUUAUUGUCACAACCUCCUCCUUAUAUCUUCUCAACUUUUUGUCUUCAGCUGGUCCCUGCCCAUCUUUACUAGAGGUCUUCAAGAAGGAAGCAUCUAGCCAUCCCUCAGCAAUAGCCUUGGGAACAAGGAAUUGGAACAAGCUUUUUGCAGAUGGAAUGUCAAGAGCAAGG